UCAUUGAAGCGGGGGUGUCCGGGAAACCGGACUGAGAGAGUCCCUUGGAACCUGAUCCGGCUGAUACCGGCGUAGGGAGCUUAGCGAACCGGGGC
rnacentral:ncRNA from 2 species